GCUGACGGAUUUGUUCCUCUCUGACAACAAGCUGACGAGCGUGCCGGCGGAGAUUGGGCAGCUCGCGUCGCUGAAAGAUUUACGCAUCACUAACAAUGAGCUGGAAGACCUACCAGGAAAGAUCAUCGGGCGGCUCACCUCGCUGACGGGGUUGAACCUCAGCGACAAUCGGCUGACGAGCGUGCCGGCGGAGAUCGGGCGGCUCACCUCGCUGACGGGGUUGGGCCUUGACGGCAACAAGCUGACGAGCGUGCCGGCGGAGAUCGGGCGGCUCACCUCGCUGACGGUGUUGCGCCUUGACGGCAAUCGGCUGACGAGCGUGCCGGCGGAGAUCGGGCGGCUCACCUCGCUCACGUAUUUGCGCCUCUCUGGCAACAAGCUGACGAGCGUGCCGGCGGAGAUCGGGCGGCUCACCUCGCUGACGGGGUUGGGCCUUGACGGCAACAAGCUGACGAGCGUGCCGGCGGAGAUCGGGCGGCUCACCUCGCUGACGGUGUUGCGCCUUGACGGCAAUCGGCUGACGAGCGUGCCGGCGGAGAUUGGGCAGCUUACGGCGCUGGAGGGGUUGUUCCUUGACGGCAACAAGCUGACGAGCGUGCCGGCGGAGAUCGGGCGGCUCACGUCGCUGCACGCGUUGUUCCUCUCUGACAACAAGCUGACGAGCGUGCCGGCGGAGAUUGGGCGGCUCACCUCGCUGAGGGAGUUUACCCUCCACAACAACAAGCUGACGAGCGUGCCGGCGGAGAUCUGGCGGCUUCGUGAACGCGGUUACGCGUAUCUUGACGAGGGCGUGACGAUUGAGGGUGAGAACUUCACCACAGAUUCGAGCUCGUCCUCGGGCUCGUCCUCGGGCUCGUCCUCGGCCUCAAGGGCCUCAUCAGAAUUUACAGACUCCGAUUAUUAG
rnacentral:lncRNA from 1 species